rnacentral:rRNA from 1 species
AUGAACGCUGGCGGCGUGCCUAAUACAUGCAAGUCGAGCGCACAGAUGAGGAGCUUGCUCCUCUGACGUUAGCGGCGGACGGGUGAGUAACACGUGGAUAACCUACCUAUAAGACUGGGAUAACUUCGGGAAACCGGAGCUAAUACCGGAUAAUAUAUUGAACCGCAUGGUUCAAUAGUGAAAGACGGUUUUGCUGUCACUUAUAGAUGGAUCCGCGCCGCAUUAGCUAGUUGGUAAGGUAACGGCUUACCAAGGCGACGAUGCGUAGCCGACCUGAGAGGGUGAUCGGCCACACUGGAACUGAGACACGGUCCAGACUCCUACGGGAGGCAGCAGUAGGGAAUCUUCCGCAAUGGGCGAAAGCCUGACGGAGCAACGCCGCGUGAGUGAUGAAGGUCUUCGGAUCGUAAAACUCUGUUAUUAGGGAAGAACAAAUGUGUAAGUAACUAUGCACGUCUUGACGGUACCUAAUCAGAAAGCCACGGCUGACUACGUG